ACCACUCAUUUAGCCAAGUGGCCCAAGCCCAUCUUCACCAGUUGAUACACUCUUCUUGUCUCCUUCAACUUUACUUUAGUGAUUGGUUUUAGUGAUUAACCAUAUUCCAGAUUUUAUAUGCAGAGACUUAGGGUCCGAAUGGUAACCGCUGUUUUUGUUGUGCGGGGAAAGCGUUAUUACACUGCGGUACGGUUCAACUGCGGUACGUGCGGAAGAAAUAUAUUUGCAGAAUUAGUGCGGUUUGUACAAAAUAAACGGUACAAAAUAAUGUUUGAUUGGUGAAAAAAACUACUUGCAGUGCGGAUUAUAAAUUAUAUAUAUAUAUAUUAA
rnacentral:sRNA from 1 species